AAAGUCGUAACAAGGUUUCCGUAGGUGAACCUGCGGAAGGAUCAUUAUCACGUAUCCACGUAUAAACCAUUGUGAACCGUACUUUAACCUCCACGAAGUUGAUGCGCGCUCUUUUAUUAGGGUGAACGUCAACGUAAAUGGAGCGUAUUAUACCUAUUAACCAUUUUAACCAAUCUUUAUAACUUUAUGAACUAACUUUAUUUUAUACUCUUCGGAGAUAAAAUUCAUUACGAAACAAAGAACAACUCUUAGCAACGGAUAUCUUGGUUCUC
rnacentral:misc_RNA from 1 species